rnacentral:rRNA from 1 species
CGUGAAAUGAGCCGAUGGCCGUCCCGGCCGUCGCCCCGUCUCCUCCUCGCGGGGCGGGCGGGGCCGCGGCGGAGGACGGAUGAAACAAAACCGGCGCAGCACCGCGCCAAGGGAAAGAUUGAAAGGCAUGAGCCCUGCGUCGGGCUCGGUGGCGUGGGCUGAUGUUGCACGCCAUGCGGAUGGACACGACUCUCGGCAAUGGAUAUCUCGGCUCUCGCAUCGAUGAAGAGCGCAGCGAAAUGCGAUAUGUGGUGCGAAUUGCAGAAUCCCGCGAACCAUCGAAUCUUUGAACGCAAGUUGCGCCCGAGGCCAACCGGUCGAGGGCACGUCCGCCUGGGCGUCAAGCGUCGCGUCGCUCCGUGCCACCUCCGUCCCGCCAGCGGGCGUGUCGGCAAAGGCCGGAUGUGCAGAGUGGCUCGUCGUGCCCGUUGGCGCGGCGGGUUGAAGUGCGGGUUUCGUCGUUGCCGGCCGCGAACAACAAGGGGUGGGUGAAAGCUGUGAGCGCAGCCUGCRUUGUCUCGUGCCGGCCAGAGAGACGGGUUGCGCCUUCRAUUUGAUCCCGGCCCAUGCGCCGAUCGUCAUGCGGCGGCUUGAAWUGCAACCCCAGGACGGGCGAGGCCACCCGCCGAGUUUAAGCAUAUCA